CCUGGGGAUAACAGGCUUAUCGCCCCCAAGAGUCCACAUCGACGGGGAGGUUUGGAACCUCGAUGUCGGCUCAUCACAUCCUGGGGCUGUAGUAGGUCCCAAGGGUUGGGCUGUUCGCCCAUUAAAGUGGUACGCGAGCUGGGUUCAGAACGUCGUGAGACAGUUCGGUCCCUAUCCGUCGCAGGCGUAGGAAAUUUGAGAAGACCUGGCCUUAGUACGAGAGGACCGGGAUGGACGUACCUCUGGUGUACCAGUUGUCCUGCCAAGGGCAUGGCUGGGUAGCUAUGUACGGAAUGGAUAAGCGCUGAAAGCAUCUAAGCGCGAAG
rnacentral:rRNA from 1 species